rnacentral:rRNA from 1 species
UGGGGAAUAUUGCACAAUGGGCGCAAGCCUGAUGCAGCCAUGCCGCGUGUGUGAAGAAGGCCUUCGGGUUGUAAAGCACUUUCAGCGGGGAGGAAGGCGAUAAGGUUAAUAACCUUGUCGAUUGACGUUACCCGCAGAAGAAGCACCGGCUAACUCCGUGCCAGCAGCCGCGGUAAUACGGAGGGUGCAAGCGUUAAUCGGAAUUACUGGGCGUAAAGCGCACGCAGGCGGUCUGUCAAGUCGGAUGUGAAAUCCCCGGGCUCAACCUGGGAACUGCAUUUGAAACUGGCAGGCUAGAGUCUUGUAGAGGGGGGUAGAAUUCCAGGUGUAGCGGUGAAAUGCGUAGAGAUCUGGAGGAAUACCGGUGGCGAAGGCGGCCCCCUGGACAAAGACUGACGCUCAGGUGCGAAAGCGUGGGGAGCAAACAGG